GUCAGGGUUCUUGAUCAAUUAUGACUGUUCUCACAAAAAGGAACAAAAAAUCAUUUUAAUUUCUGAGAAGGAAUUUUGCACUUCAUUUCUUCUUGCAUGAGGCAGUUGAUAUUUUUAAUUUAAUUUAUUAGCAGAAGGCAAGGAGGGAAGUGCUUUUCUCCAUGAGAGUUAAUUUAUUACAAGGUGAGAUGGUUUCCCAGGGAAAGUUGCAUAAACUACUGAAACGACAGAGAAAAAUGUACUGGUUUAAAGAGGUAAAUGAAGGAACAGCACAGAAUUCUGUCUUUUGUGAAGACUUUGAAUAGCUUUGGGCUUGUGGAGUUCUAACGUUAAACACCUAUUAAGGCUGCUUUCUCCUCAGCCCCAGUUGCUACUAACUCUUCUGUGGCCAGCUGCCUAGAACCCUUCGUGGACAAGGGUGUUGGUUUACAGUGCGUGAGUCAGGCAUCGUGCUUGGAAGACUUUGACUGCAAUUUUUUGCACCCCGAGAGUACUUCCGGUUUCAUAGGGGACACAGUUCCCAGUUCCAACAAGGGAGACCCAUCCACAACAACUGCCUGUGUGUUAGAUUGUCCAGUUUUGCCCUCUGAGUCUGUGUACGUGUGCAUGCAAAAAAAAAAAAAAGCCUUCCCCACCCAUCAGCACAUCUGGAACCUUUGGCUCCUUCUGCUGCUCACACACCAUCAUACUGGUGGUCAAUACAGUCAGCUAUAUUUUGUUGCACGUGUCUUGACUGAAUUCCUCCUAAUGGAAUACACAUGGUCUGUACUGGCAGCACUUAUUCUUUGAGGUGAGAGAGGGAAAGGUGCAAAGACCAUCCACUGCUCAACAACCUCUUUGAAUGAGGGCAAAUGCAUUUUAAUUCAAGGAUGUGUAAACCUGCUUGUUUAAUUGGAGGAGGUUUAUAAUCUUAGAAUACAUUGUAAGUGCCUGUGGGUCAGAAAGGGGAGGGCCAUCAUUCCUAAUUGAGUCUAUGUUAGAAAAGGAGAAUAUGGUUAAUGUAGAAGUGGUUUGAAUAUGAGAGAAUAGUCAUACAUCAUGAAGAAUUUACACAACAUAUUUUCCACUUGUGUUGUUUGUCAAAGACACCAACAGGCUUAUGGUGUUGUCUUUUCAUGUUUUCCCAGUCUUAGCUCUCUUAUAUGCUCACUGAGAGAAAAGCUUAGAUCCAAGCAGAAGUUCAUUGACUGCGAGGAUGUCUAAAAGCUUUGUCGCUCAUUAGCAUCUUCCCAUUAAAAGGCAGAUUUACACACCGGAGUCUUAAUAGGAGAUGACAUGUAGUGGCACCCAACUGCCAUUGUUUUCAGGCAACCAAGCCAGGUAAGGAAACAGCAGGGUUUCGCCCCAAACAUUUAUAUCCUACUAGGCUAAAGGUGCAUCUUGGGAUCCCUCACUGCCAGUUGCUUGGACUGGCUGUUGGGAAAAGUCAAGUAAGUUUUGUCCUGUGUGGUCAAGAGCAUUGGGGACUGCAGACAGCUGGUGCUUUGGAAGGACCAAUGGGAAUACCUGAAUUAAGAGGCCAGCCCUACAGAUCUGUUAAUUGGUAGAGGUUCACACAGCAUUCCUGUAUUUUGAGUGCAGAGCAUGUGAUAGAGCCAACCGGGACAGGUUGAGAGGAAAGGAAAAAAGGAGUAACUGCUGGAAAAUGAAAGCCCAUGUCCCUCAACCAGCCCCAUGGAAAACUGAGGGAUGUCCUCACUGCAUAAGCCUUAUGGGGCUUGUAAUAGCAUCUGUAGUUGGAUAUCUGGGACCAAACAUCAGAGAGUAGUCACUAGCUGUUUUUUUUUGCACUUCUACUUAAAUGUACUGUACUGUAAAUCUCUCAUGAUUUGUUUAAGUGUCCUUUAAAAAAAAAGAAAUCAAAAAAUGUAUUUAUUAUAUGUUUAUACUUCUGGGAGGGAAGAUAAGAAAACUAGGCAGGUAACCAACUAAAAAUAGUUAUUUAAUUCUUUUUAAAAGAAACUUCUUCAGAAUAAUGGGAGUUCACAUUGAGAAAAGCUAUGGUAAUACCAUUAAUGUUCAGCUACCGAAUGGUGAGGCAUUGGACUUUAAUAUGUUCUGUUUACAUGUCUGGAUUGUCUCUUGAAUCUGUUCCUUCAUUACACACGGGCUUUCAAUAUUUGUGAAAUUGUUAAGAUGUAGCAAGAGAAAUAAAAUUCCACUGUAUGUAUAAAAA